rnacentral:rRNA from 1 species
GAUGAACGCUAGCUACAGGCUUAACACAUGCAAGUCGAGGGGCAGCAGGGAUUUAGCUUGCUAAAUUCGCUGGCGACCGGCGCACGGGUGCGUAACGCGUAUCCAACUUUCCCGUUACUCUCGGAUAGCCUUCCGAAAGGGAGAUUAAUACGAGAUGGUGUUUUAAUUCCGCAUGUUAUUAGAACUAAAGAUUUAUCGGUAACGGAUAGGGAUGCGUGACAUUAGAUAGUUGGCGGGUAACGGCCCACCAUGUCUACGAUGUCUAGGGGUUCUGAGAGGAAGGUCCCCCACACUGGAACUGAGACACGGACCAAACUCCUACGGGAGGCAGCAGUGAGGAAUAUUGGUCAAUGGACGCAAGUCUGAACCAGCCAUGCCGCGUGCAGGAUGACGGCUCUAUGAGUUGUAAACUGCUUUUGUAUGAGGGUAAAAUCGGGUACGUGUACCUGACUGAAAGUAUCAUACGAAUAAGGAUCGGCUAACUCCGUGCCAGCAGCCG